GCGACCGUGGUGUAGUGGCUAACAUGGCUGCCUUCCAAGCAGUCGAUCCGGGUUCGACUCCCGGCGGUCGCA
rnacentral:tRNA from 1 species